rnacentral:rRNA from 1 species
AACGAACGCUGGCGGCAUGCCUAACACAUGCAAGUCGAACGAUCCCUUCGGGGAUAGUGGCGCACGGGUGCGUAACGCGUGGGAACCUGCCCUUAGGUUCGGAAUAACUCAGAGAAAUUUGAGCUAAUACCGGAUAAUGUCUUCGGACCAAAGAUUUAUCGCCUUUGGAUGGGCCCGCGUUGGAUUAGCUAGUUGGUGGGGUAAAGGCCUACCAAGGCGACGAUCCAUAGCUGGUCUGAGAGGAUGAUCAGCCACACUGGGACUGAGACACGGCCCAGACUCCUACGGGAGGCAGCAGUGGGGAAUAUUGGAAAAUGGGCGAAAGCCUGAUCCAGCAAUGCCGCGUGAGUGAUGAAGGCCUUAGGGUUGUAAAGCUCUUUUAACCGGGAUGAUAAUGACAGUACCGGGAGAAUAAGCCCCGGCUAACUCCGUG